GACGAACGCUGGCGGCGUGCUUAACACAUGCAAGUCGAACGGUGAAGCGCCUUCCUUUUUGGUGGGUGUGGAUGAGUGGCGAACGGGUGAGUAACACGUGAGUAACCUGCCCCCUUCUUCUGGAUAACCGCAUGAAAGUGUGGCUAAUACGGGAUAUUCUGGGUCUGUCGCAUGAUGGGUCUGGGAAAGAUAUUGUUUCGGUGGGGGAUGGGCUCGCGGCCUAUCAGCUUGUUGGUGGGGUGAUGGUCUACCAAGGCGGUGACGGGUAGCCGGCCUGAGAGGGUGGACGGUCACACUGGGACUGAGACACGGCCCAGACUCCUACGGGAGGCAGCAGUGGGGAAUAUUGCACAAUGGGCGCAAGCCUGAUGCAGCGACGCCGCGUGAGGGAUGGAGGCCUUCGGGUUGUGAACCUCUUUCGCCAGUGAAGCAGGCCUGCCUCGUUUGUGGGUGGGUUGACGGUAGCUGGAUAAGAAGCGCCGGCUAACUACGUG
rnacentral:rRNA from 1 species